CAGAGUUGCAAAACUCCCUAAACCAUCGCGAACGUUACCUUUACCGUUGCUUCGGCGGGGGGCUCCAGGGCGGAGCCGCAGCCCUCACGGGCGCCCGCCGGCGGCACUACAAACUCUUGAUUAUUUUGGCAUCUCUGAGUAGCUUAUAAAUAAGUUA
rnacentral:misc_RNA from 1 species